rnacentral:rRNA from 1 species
GAGUUUGAUCGUGGCUCAGGAUGAACGCUGGCGGCGUGCUUAACACAUGCAAGUCGAGCGGAGUGAAUCAAGAGCUUGCUUUUGAUUGACUUAGCGGCGGACGGGUGAGUAACGUGUGGGCAACCUGCCUCAUACAGGGGAAUAAUCACCGGAAACGGUGACUAAUACCGCAUGUGGCGUAUUGAAGGCAUCUUCGAUACGAGAAAGGAGGAAUCCGGUAUGAGAUGGGCCCGCAUCUGAUUAGCUAGUUGGUGAGAUAACAGCCCACC